rnacentral:misc_RNA from 1 species
AAGUCGUAACAAGGUCUCCGUAGGUGAACCUGCGGAGGGAUCAUUACUGAGUGAGGGAGCAAUCCCGACCUCCAACCCUUUGUGAACGCAUCAUGUUGCUUUGGGGGCGACCCUGCCGUUUCGCGGCAUUCCCCCCGAAGGUCAUCAAAACACUGCAUUCUUACGUCGGAGUAAAAAGUUAAUUUAAUAAAACUUUCAACAACGGAUCUCUUGGUUCUG